rnacentral:rRNA from 1 species
UACGAAGGGGGCUAGCGUUGUUCGGAAUUACUGGGCGUAAAGCGCGCGCAGGCGGUUCUUCAAGUCAGUGGUGAAAGCCCGGAGCUCAACUCCGGAACUGCCAUUGAAACUGUUUAGCUGGAGUAUGAGAGAGGUGAGUGGAAUUCCCAGUGUAGAGGUGAAAUUCGUAGAUAUUGGGAAGAACACCGGUGGCGAAGGCGGCUCACUGGCUCAUUACUGACGCUCGUGCGCGACAGCGUGGGGAUCAAACAGG